rnacentral:rRNA from 1 species
GGUUAAGCGACUAAGCGUACACGGUGGAUGCCCUGGCAGUCAGAGGCGAUGAAGGACGUGCUAAUCUGCGAAAAGCGUCGGUAAGGUGAUAUGAACCGUUACAGCCGGCGAUGUCCGAAUGGGGAAACCCAGUGCAAUUCGUUGCACUAUCGUUAACUGAAUACAUAGGUUAACGAGGCGAACCGGGGGAACUGAAACAUCUAAGUACCCCGAGGAAAAGAAAUCAACCGAGAUUCCCCCAGUAGCGGCGAGCGAACGGGGAGCAGCCCAGAGUCUGAAUCAGCUUGUGUGUUAGUGGAACGGUCUGGAAAGUCCGACGGUACAGGGUGAUAGUCCCGUACACCAAAAUGCACAGGCUGUGAACUCGAAGAGUAGGGCGGGACACGUGGUAUCCUGUCUGAAUAUGGGGGGACCAUCCUCCAAGGCUAAAUACUCCUGACUGACCGAUAGUGAACCAGUACCGUGAGGGAAAGGCGAAAAGAACCCCGGCGAGGGGAGUGAAAAAGAACCUGAAACCGUGUACGUACAAGCAGUGGGAGCACCUUCGGGUGUGACUGCGUACCUUUUGUAUAAUGGGUCAGCGACUUAUAUUCUGUAGCAAGGUUAACCGUAUAGGGGAGCCGCAGGGAAACCGAGUCUUAACUGGGCGUUAAGUUGCAGGGUAUAGACCCGAAACCCGGUGAUCUAGCCAUGGGCAGGUUGAAGGUUGGGUAACACUAACUGGAGGACCGAACCGACUAAUGUUGAAAAAUUAGCGGAUGACUUGUGGCUGGGGGUGAAAGGCCAAUCAAACCGGGAGAUAGCUGGUUCUCCCCGAAAGCUAUUUAGGUAGCGCCUCGUGAAUUCAUCUUCGGGGGUAGAGCACUGUUUCGGCUAGGGGGUCAUCCCGACUUACCAACCCGAUGCAAACUACGAAUACCGAAGAAUGUUAUCACGGGAGACACACGGCGGGUGCUAACGUCCGUCGUGAAGAGGGAAACAACCCAGACCGCCAGCUAAGGUCCCAAAGUCAUGGUUAAGUGGGAAACGAUGUGGGAAGGCACAGACAGCCAGGAUGUUGGCUUAGAAGCAGCCAUCAUUUAAAGAAAGCGUAAUAGCUCACUGGUCGAGUCGGCCUGCGCGGAAGAUGUAACGGGGCUAAACCAUGCACCGAAGCUGCGGCAGCGACACUAUGUGUUGUUGGGUAGGGGAGCGUUCUGUAAGCCUGCGAAGGUGUGCUGUGAGGCAUGCUGGAGGUAUCAGAAGUGCGAAUGCUGACAUAAGUAACGAUAAAGCGGGUGAAAAGCCCGCUCGCCGGAAGACCAAGGGUUCCUGUCCAACGUUAAUCGGGGCAGGGUGAGUCGACCCCUAAGGCGAGGCCGAAAGGCGUAGUCGAUGGGAAACAGGUUAAUAUUCCUGUACUUGGUGUUACUGCGAAGGGGGGACGGAGAAGGCUAUGUUAGCCGGGCGACGGUUGUCCCGGUUUAAGCAUGUAGGCUGGUUGUCCAGGCAAAUCCGGAUAAUCAAGGCUGAGGUGUGAUGACGAGGCACUACGGUGCUGAAGUAACAAAUGCCCUGCUUCCAGGAAAAGCCUCUAAGCAUCAGGUAACAUCAAAUCGUACCCCAAACCGACACAGGUGGUCAGGUAGAGAAUACCAAGGCGCUUGAGAGAACUCGGGUGAAGGAACUAGGCAAAAUGGUGCCGUAACUUCGGGAGAAGGCACGCUGGUGUGUAGGUGAAGUCCCUGCGGAUGGAGCUGAGACCAGUCGAAGAUACCAGCUGGCUGCAACUGUUUAUUAAAAACACAGCACUGUGCAAACACGAAAGUGGACGUAUACGGUGUGACGCCUGCCCGGUGCCGGAAGGUUAAUUGAUGGGGUUAUCCGUAAGGAGAAGCUCUUGAUCGAAGCCCCGGUAAACGGCGGCCGUAACUAUAACGGUCCUAAGGUAGCGAAAUUCCUUGUCGGGUAAGUUCCGACCUGCACGAAUGGCGUAAUGAUGGCCAGGCUGUCUCCACCCGAGACUCAGUGAAAUUGAACUCGCUGUGAAGAUGCAGUGUACCCGCGGCAAGACGGAAAGACCCCGUGAACCUUUACUAUAGCUUGACACUGAACAUUGAGCCUUGAUGUGUAGGAUAGGUGGGAGGCUUUGAAGCGUGGACGCCAGUCUGCGUGGAGCCAACCUUGAAAUACCACCCUUUAAUGUUUGAUGUUCUAACGUUGGCCCCUUACCGGGGUUGCGGACAGUGUCUGGUGGGUAGUUUGACUGGGGCGGUCUCCUCCCAAAGCGUAACGGAGGAGCACGAAGGUUAGCUAAUCCUGGUCGGACAUCAGGAGGUUAGUGCAAUGGCAUAAGCUAGCUUGACUGCGAGCGUGACGGCGCGAGCAGGUGCGAAAGCAGGUCAUAGUGAUCCGGUGGUUCUGAAUGGAAGGGCCAUCGCUCAACGGAUAAAAGGUACUCCGGGGAUAACAGGCUGAUACCGCCCAAGAGUUCAUAUCGACGGCGGUGUUUGGCACCUCGAUGUCGGCUCAUCACAUCCUGGGGCUGAAGUAGGUCCCAAGGGUAUGGCUGUUCGCCAUUUAAAGUGGUACGCGAGCUGGGUUUAGAACGUCGUGAGACAGUUCGGUCCCUAUCUGCCGUGGGCGCUGGAGAAUUGAGGGGGGCUGCUCCUAGUACGAGAGGACCGGAGUGGACGCAUCACUGGUGUUCGGGUUGUCAUGCCAAUGGCACUGCCCGGUAGCUAAAUGCGGAAGAGAUAAGUGCUGAAAGCAUCUAAGCACGAAACUUGCCCCGAGAUGAGUUCUCCCUGAGACUUUAAGUCUCCUGAAGGAACGUUGAAGACGACGACGUUGAUAGGCCGGGUGUGUAAGCGCAGCGAUGCGUUGAGCUAACCGGUACUAAUGAACCGUGAGGCUUAACCUUAC